GUUAUCUCGCCGAAUUCGCUGGAGGUAACCAGAGUUCGCCGGGGAUCGCCGAGUUCACGGUAGAUCACCAAGUUUUCUGGAAAUUGUGGAGUUCGCCGGAGAUCGGCGAAUCGUCGUGACAGAGAUUAGGAAGAAAAAUAGAUCUAGGUUAAAUCUAUGAAAUGAAGGGUAUAAUGGUACUUUAGCCAUUAAAAUUUUAAUGGUAAAUUUGAAAAGUGUAAAAUUGAAAAGUGGUAUUAUGAAAGUGGUAUUAGUGGCAAUUUCUCAUGUCUAAAUCUAAUUAGUACGUUGUUAUACUAUUAGUGAUUAUGAUAUAAU
rnacentral:lncRNA from 1 species